GACGAACGCUGGCGGCGUGCUUAACACAUGCAAGUCGAACGAGAAGGCCCUGCUUUGGUGCGCUGCGCGACGGGCGAACGGGGGAGUAACACGUGAGUAACCUGCCCUUGACUGUGGGGGAACUUCAUGAAGGUGGAGCUAAUACCGGAUAGGAGCUCCUGCUGCUGGGUGGGGGUUGGUAAGAUUAGGCGGUUGGUGAUGGACUGGCGGCUUAUUGGCUUGUUGGUGGGGUAGUGGAUUAGCAAGGCUUUGACGGGUAGCCGGCCUGAGAGGGUGACAGGCCAAACUGGGAUUGAGAUACGGCCCAGACUCCUACCGGACGCAGGGGUGGGGAAGAUUGUACAAGGCGCGGAGGCAUGAUGUAGCACCGCCGCGCGCGGGGUGAGGGGAAUCGGGUUGUAAACCGAUUUCGCCUGUGACGAGGCGUGAGUGACGGUAAUGGGUAAAGAAGCACCGGCUAACUACGUG
rnacentral:rRNA from 1 species